rnacentral:rRNA from 1 species
CCUGGCGGCCAUAGCGCGUUGGACCCACCCCUUCCCAUCCCGAACAGGACCGUGAAACGACGCAGCGCCGAUGAUAGUGCGGAUUGCCCGCGCGAAAGUAGGUCACCGCCAGGC